rnacentral:snRNA from 1 species
AUUCACCGUUUGACAUUUUC